rnacentral:sRNA from 1 species
UAGUAGCAGUUCGGUUCUAUAUAAGGGCGGUCGGCUCACCCCUCAUUGUUUGAAAGAAAGGGGGUGAGAUUAUGGCAGUAUCAGAAGCUUUGCAACUAAUGGUGUCUUUCGGCAUCUUAAUUGUGGCUAUUCUGUCAUUUAACCAUAAAAAAAAGUAAGAUCGCCCUUGAUUCCCACACCAAGACGAUCUUACCACUAACGGGAUAAUAACAAUAGAGCCGACUCCUUAAUGGAGCCAUCUGUUGCUGUCCGGGAGAUGUUAGCGCAUCUUCCG